UAUAUCCUUCAAGAAAUCAUUGAGAAUCUCAUACUUCUGAAAUUUAUCACAAUUUGCAUUCCUGUCAAUUUUCAAAUCAUGUGAUGGUCUAUUUGUUACCACUGUUAUAAACAGUUCUGAUAAUGCUUCUCAGUGCAUUUGAAGUUGGAACAAAAUCUUUUUGUGGAGUCUUGCAUAUGGAGUCAUGCUAAAAGUUGUGCCAUGACAUGCUAUGAUGAGUCUAUGCAUUACAUGAAUUCAAUAGGUUGUUUUGCUGUAAUAAAUCUAGAAUCAGAUAUGCUCAAAAAACCUGUUAUGCACCAAUGUUUUAAAAGGUAAGGAGGGCUGGGCAUUUAAUGUCUGGCUAGACAAGGCGAAAGCCAUGCCCCACAAAUUUUGAUUUUUUUUAUACAUUUAAAAAGUUAAAAAUAUAAGAAUACUAAUAUAUAUAUAUAUAUAUAUAUAUGUAUAAUAGUUACUAAUAGAAACAAAAUAUUGAUAAAGUUAAAGAAAACUACAAAACAUUAUAAGAAAAAUCACAAACCUAAAUUUAAUACACUUUUGUUAGAAAUUAUGAGAUUUCAUGACUGCAAAGUGUUCAAUUUAUAAGGCUAAUGCUCAAUUGCUUGAACCUACAACCUAUGUUCCUUCAGAAACAAAAUCAUUAAGUAUCAAAAUUUAAAGUCUAAACCAUACAUUAGUCAUCUAGUCUUAUUAGUAGAAGAUAAUAAUAUCUUGGCAUCAACAACAAGGAAAAACAGUGUAAAAAACAAAGUCAUAAAUGCUUCUACAUUGUAUUUUUUCCAAAAAUUUUGAAAGAGAAAACAGAUGAAAUCCAUUUUGAAGAUCACUAAAGAAAAAUAAUGAGAUAGGAAACUAAGAUAGGAUGAAAGAAAAACAAAUUCAAAGUUCAAACUUAAAAUAAAAAGAAAAGAAAAAGAAAAAGCACCAAAUGCCCAAACACCUAACGCCCUAAACACCAGGGUGUACGCCCUGUAGCAUGGGGCAAAUGCCCAGUAACACUUAUGCCCCAUUCAAUCGCCUUGGGGCAUUUGAGGGUCGCCCCACCCCAAGGACUCGCCCAGAAAACACCUUUGAAAACACCUAUGCACAAAAAAGAUGCAUAGGUUGCUCUUGGUUUUACGAUGUGGGCAACUGUGGCAAGAGUGCAACGGGCUGCUUCCUCUAAAGUAAGCAAAACUUUAUGCAAAUACCUUAAAUCACUAUUGUUCACAAGUUGACAACACUACAUAGGCACUGCUUUGAUUCAUCGAUGGUGGUUGUAUUUACAAAAUGUACCUUGAAUUGAAUAAACAUUAAUUAUUUGUUAAAACAUGGGUUGUGGGGUAAACAUUAGGUACUAUGUCAAAUUGUCAUCCAUGAAUUUAGUUGUAUUGGACUUACUCGACAUCCAUGAAUAGCAUGUCAAAGACAUACACUUUGAUUCAUCGAUGGUGGUUGUAUUUACAAAAUGUACCUUGAAUUGAAUAAACAUUAAUUAUUUGUUAAAACAUGGGUUGUGGGGUAAACAUUAGGUACUAUGUCAAAUUGUCGUCCAUGAAUUUAGUUGUAUUGGACUUACUCGACAUCCAAGAAUAGCAUGUCAAAGACAUACAUUAAUUUCCUGCCUUUAGUCUACACAAUGAAGCUAUUUAGCACCUGUUUUGCUACCUUUAUAAGCUUUCCUCGAGUGAGGAACAUUUGUCUAAUAUGAAUAGUUUGCUGGUGAAUGGAGAAUCUUUUUAUCCUGAGGUAGCUUUCAUCUAUUGCUUACCGAUGUCUCCUGCUUGUUUUCAUUCUCAUGGUGAUACGUCCACUUUAUACAACUAGCACAGUGACUAUAAUCUUGGAGUCAAAAUAUAUUCAUAACAGAUGUCCUGCAUUUUAUGGCAGAUU
rnacentral:lncRNA from 1 species